rfam:Heligmosomoides polygyrus genome assembly, scaffold: HPBE_scaffold0000412
GCGCCGGUGGUGUAAUGGCGUAGAGCAUUCCCGCCCGGUCAGAGGGAGGUGCGGGUUCGAGUCCCGCCCGGCGCU